AAUUGAGCUACAGUGAGGUCACACAGCCGAGAUCACACAGUGAAGAGUUGGGAUUUGAGCCUGGAAUACUCUGACCUCAGAGUCUGGAUGCUAGUCUCUUGCUGCCUCCCUCGUGUUAUGAGGUCAUGUCUAAAUCACCUUCAUUACUGAAAAUGCUUGUGAAAGACCUAUUCUGCUGGAUAGAGCAGUCACCUUAGUCAAUUCCAGAUAUUGCAACAUCACUGCUGUUCAAGAUUAGAACUUAAGAACUUGAAAAGGUCAAGAAAGAUGUGGUGCCUUCUCUCCACAUCAAGUAAACAGUCCGUGGCAUUGGCCUCUGACAAGUGACAACAGACUCAUGGGGCAGCAGUUGAGGAGCUGUGCUUACAUGAUACUUACCAUCCUGAGAAGCAUGGACGUAUGGGGAUACCCAUACCCUGGUAACCCAACCCCAUGGACUCAGACCAGUGGUGAACACUAGAGAAUCUUCAUCAUUUGCUCAGCUGUCACCACUUCCACAGGUGCAAGAAGUGGCCGAUGGUUCCAGAGGAUGACCCCAGCCUCUCAAAUAGAAAAGGGAGUGUGUUAGAUGUCAUCCAGCCAGUCGUAUAGAAAGGUGGACUUUAAGAAACUGUGGUUAAUGUUGGAAGGAAACAUAAGGCAGCUUUUAAAGCUAUUUUCAUAGUCUUCAAAGAGAAAUAAAUGACCAGCGCCGAGGGCUGCAGACAGCA